UACGGGGGGGCAAGCGUUGUUUGGAAUUACUGGGCGUAAAGGGCUCGUAGGUGGCCAACUAAGUCAGACGUGAAAUCCCUCGGCUUAACCGGGGAACUGCGUCUGAUACUGGAUGGCUUGAGUUCGGGAGAGGGAUGCGGAAUUCCAGGUGUAGCGGUGAAAUGCGUAGAUAUCUGGAGGAACACCGGUGGCGAAGGCGGCAUCCUGGACCGACACUGACGCUGAGGAGCGAAAAGCCAGGGGAGCAAACGGGG
rnacentral:rRNA from 1 species